rnacentral:rRNA from 1 species
GAUGAACGCUAGCGGCAGGCUUAACACAUGCAAGUCGAGGGGUAUGCCGAUUUAUCGGCAGAGACCGGCGCACGGGUGCGUAACGCGUAUGCAAUCUACCUUUCACAGAGGGAUAGCCCAGAGAAAUUUGGAUUAAUACCUCAUAGUAUAGCAGUUUCGCAUGAAACCACUAUUAAAGUUCCAACGGUGAAAGAUGAGCAUGCGUCCCAUUAGCUAGAUGGUAAGGUAACGGCUUACCAUGGCUGCGAUGGGUAGGGUCCUGAGAGGGAGAUCCCCCACACUGGUACUGAGACACGGACCAGACUCCUACGGGAGGCAGCAGUGAGGAAUAUUGGUCAAUGGGACGCAAGUCUGAACCAGCCAUGCCGCGUGCAGGAUGACGGUCCUAUGGAUUGUAAACUGCUUUUGUACGAGAAGAAACAACAUUACGUGUAAUGUCUUGACGGUAUCGUAAGAAUAAGGAUCGGCUAACUCCGUGCC